ensembl:lncRNA
CUGUUGCUCAUGCGAGGUUAUGUUUGAGUGGGGGGAAGUCUCCUCUCGAUGAGGUGUAUCCUCACUGCUUCUCUCCACAGCGGCCUCAUCAUGAGGUGUAUCCUCACUGCUUCUCUCCACAGCGGCCUCAUCAUGAGGUGUAUCCUCACUGCUUCUCUCCACAGCGGCCUCAUCAUGAGGUGUAUCCUCACUGCUUCUCUCCACAGCGGCCUCUCGAUGAGGUGUAUCCUCACUGCUUCUCUCCACAGCGGCCUCUCGAUGAGGUGUAUCCUCACUGCUUCUGUCCACAGCGGCCUCAUCAUGAGGUGUAUCCUCACUGCUUCUCUCCACAGCGGCCUCUCGAUGAGGUGUAUCCUCACUGCUUCUCUUCACAGCGGCCUCCGUUUCUGCAGCGGCCUC